rnacentral:tRNA from 1 species
UGCUUUACACGCAGAAGGUCGUGGGUUCAAACCCCACCAAUAGUACUGUUUUUUAUUAAGAAUGAUUCUUCUU